ACGGGAAACCGACCAGAACCCUGGGCAGGGGCGGGGGAACCAGGUUUGUUGCCGUCUCCCCACGGCUUGGGGUGAAGCCGCCCGAGCGGAAUCGUUUCCGCGUACGGCGGCCGGGCCACCUCCCGGUCCGAACCCGACAGCUCACCUCGCAGGCGUACGGAGAGGGACC
rfam:Streptomyces sp. CB02056 scaffold2, whole genome shotgun sequence.